AAUUCCCCAAGAAUUUGCCAACUGACCCUUUGGUUAAUAACCUCACCUUUUUGGGGAGCUCAGGUUUUCCCUAGAUAUGUACCAUACUCCUCUUCCUACAAUUUAGGAGAAGGAUCCCUAAGUUGAGACAGGGACAAAAUGAAGUUCUCAUAUUGCUGUCAUGAUAACGGGUACGAAUGAAGUGACCAAAGACAUACUCUGCGUGAGCAAAAGGAUUCGGCUCUGCCCGCCUGAGAGCUCAGCUAAUGGGAUUGGUGAACUAGAAGGACUUCUUGAGAGGAGAAGGAAGGAAGCAGGUUCGGGUUGAUCUCCAGCCUGAAGGAGGAGCACAGGAAAGCACAGAAGUGUGAAGGUCUGGAGGCUGGAGGUCCAAGAUCAGGGUGCCAGCAUGGUCCGGUUCUGGUUUCAGAACAUACAAGGGCUAGAAGAACAAGAUAAAUGAUACUACAGGGGAAAAACAUCAGACAGUUUCAGAAUUGUGAUACAUUCUACAGGACAACUGGCCAGGAUCCUCCUACUGAUAAUUAUCCAACAAUAAUGAGUCUUCCAAUUAGUCUAACGCUUCCCACAUCUGCUAUAUGGCCAUUGGCCAUCGCCGCAGCCUCAGUCAGGCAGGCCUCAGGCCCAUUUUGUGGAUGGAGAACUGGUGCUCUGCCCAGAGAAGAGAGCCAGCUGCCUUGCCUCAGCCACACAGCUUAUAAGUACUCAGGGAAGAACACAGCAUUCUUUCCCCAACACCUGUGUUUCUCAAUUCCCCUUCACCUCCAGCCCACCUCGUCCCAACUCUGAUGCCUCCAAUGCGGAAAUCAUUUUGAUUUCGUUUUUGUAACUGCAGUUAGGAGAACAGCUGAAACAGAACACACGCAGAAAAAUUGAAACCCACCCCACAUCUCGGUUCUGAUUUACCUAUUUGUAGAUUUGAGUCAUUGGCUACCAUCUGCUGAACCAGCUACCUGACUGUAUCCUCGGGGCGCCGUGGCUGACUCAAUUUGCUCCCUUUGCCUGGUGAAGGAGGACACACUCAAAGGCAAACCUGCUCACUCCGCAGUUUGCUCUUGAUUAUUCACUAAGACUUUCAAGACUUCUGUCUUAAGUGUCAAUAGAAGAACCCAAGUCUGAAUGUGGCCCUUUGUGCCCAACAUCUAGCCCAAUACCAGACACAGCCAAAUUCUUAGGUAGCUUUUCUUCUGAGGAUGUCUUUCCAGCACUUUUUGUCUUCAAAUAUUGACCCAACUUGAAGGGACACCCACAAAGCUGGGACAGCUUAAGCAUCAAAAUGAAUAACUGAUUGUAAAGGAUUGAAGCUCAUUGAAUAUCUAAAAAUCCAUGAGUCCACAAUGAUACUCAAAAAGAGAAAGCAAGCAAACAAGCAAGUAGAUUCUCACUUGUUAUAAUUGGAGUCUGCCAUUACACCAACUCCUUAUUCUGAAAAUAGGUAAAUAACUCUAUUUUAGGCAUUAAGCUCCAGUUGGUGAGGUAUGGUCUUCUUUAUGGAUGAAUACUGAGUAGUAAAUGUAGAAGAAAUGGUAAAAUUAGAAAAUCACCACUUGGCAAUCCCUAAAGAAAUAGUAGAUUCAAGCAAGAAUCAUUUAUGGACAAUAGGGGAAAUGUUGAUAGGGAAUUACAUUCACCUGGUGUCAAAGUACUAGCUCUCCCACACCAGAUUUCUCAGUAGUCACAAGAGGAAAACGUGGGGCAUCAGGUUAUGUGACAUAGACCCAAGAUCAGUCCUAGCACUACAAAAAUAGGACAGCCAGACAUUGUAUAUCUCUUGACAAGAUGCAAUAUAAAGUACCCAACAUGACCUAUAAAAUAUUCUCUUCAAAAAUAUUUCACCCAAAUCUAGUCAAGUCUUUAGAUACUACUUCCAAGUUACAGGAAAUAUAGGAGGUAGAAAAACAAGAUAAAUGACAUCACAAAAGGAGAAAAAAUCAAAUUACUCGAGAAUUGUGAUACAUUCUACAGGACAACUGGUCUUUUAUCCUCCGUAAAUCAGUGCCAUGAAAAUGAAGAGGAAACAAAGAGAUGGAUCCUAGCAUAGAUAAUCUACAAGAAUUAGAAUUAUGGGAUUCUCUCAAUUUCAGGAAGCUCACUUUCUUUCUAGAACAGUGCUCAGUGCAAGAACCAGGCUAUACUGAGCACUCAAUACGUAUGUGUUGAAUGAAAGAAUGAAUAGCAAGUGACUGAAUUCUAUAGAGGAGAUCAAACAGGCUCAGAGAGGUGGGUGCUGUGCCCAAUGUCAGGCAGCUGGUCAGUGGCAGAGCCAGGGCUAAAACUUCAUCUAUUAGCACUAACCUAGUGCUUGUUCCAUAAUUCUCUGUUUUUGCUUUUUCGUGUAUAAUUUAGUUCUAGAUUUAAAAAGACUAAGGAGACAUAACAGCCUUAUGUGCCCUACGAGACAAAUGUAAUGUGUGGUUUCUGGUUGGAUCCUGGUUUGAAUAAGCCAGCUGUAAAAGAUAUUCUGAGAACAACUGAGAAACUGAACACACACUGGUCCUAGAUGACGUUGAGGCAUCUCUGACAAUUCUGUCAGGAGCCCAAUAAAACGAGCCCCCAGGAGUAGGCCCAUUAGCAGCAUGCUUUGCAAAGCUUCUCCAGUUUGCUAAGAAGCACUUCAGCGUCCCGAGUUCAUCUCUUUCGUGUCACAAGAGAGCAUCUGCUCUUGCAGGAAUGUCACGAGUGCAGAACAAAGGAACUUGAGAUGGGUGGUAAAGUUCAGUGUUGACAACAUGGACUUCAGAAUCAAACUAGACCUGGGGGAACAUUUUCCUUGACUCAGUUUCCUCUUCAGAAACACCAAGCAAACACCAAGCACCUAUUUCAUACAGUCGUUGUUGGAAUUAAAUGAGAUAAUAAAUAAGAUAAUGCCCGAAAUAGUUAAGUGCCCCAAAAGUCAUCAGUUACUAUAGUUAUGGCUAGGCAAACAAGUAUGUUAUGUGCUUGGAUUGCUUGUAAUUGUUUUCAUUUUGGAGAGACCAGAUCAUUGUAAUUCCCUUUCACAAGCCAUUUAGAUAUUGAAGUUCCAACAGAAGUUCUGGACAAAGAUUAUAAUGAAAGCAGAAAAUUUCCCAAAAUAAAUCUUCUGUUUUUUUUUUUAAUCUUAAUGGGACCUCAAGCCAAGUUCAACCCUAGUAGGCACCUUGGCAGAGCUGCUACUCUGCUCUCCCCAUAGUGUGUCAUACUGGAUGUGCUUGUCAAUGUGGUAUUCCUUUUCUGCUUUAAUCAGCCAAUAUGGGCCCUGAGAACAAUGAAGCAAUCACCUUCUUCCCCAACAGGUAUGCUAAUUGCAUCAUUUCAGUAACGCACUUAUCCUUCACCAGCAUAAGUCCUGCGAAUUUGCCCACCGUCCCUUCUACAGCCAGCUCUCACCUCUGAUGGGUGUGUGUGUGGAAGUUUAGAGCAUAAUGGCCCCAGAAUGUUAGAGGGAUACAAACUAGGGGAGGAUGCUAUGAGUUUGAAGCUUUUGGCGGUGGAACAGGAAAGCACAGCCCUCUAAUUCGAGCACAUUGACAGUGUGGCAGCAUGGUGAACCACCUUAGAAACCCAAAACAGAAGAAACAACGCAACUGCGGCUCACAGAGUUUAACCCCAAGCUCUAACUCUGGCGUAUAGUUACCAUGUCACUAAGAGCUCGAAUUCAUCUUUAUUAAUCUACAAAUUCAUGCACAAUGGAUUUUUUCUUGCCGUCUUCCAAAAUACUGAUCUCCUAUCAACUACAGUUGAAGUCGCUUUUCUGCUUGAGGGUAUUGCUGUUUCUCUGAUUUUGAAAACUGAAGAGACACGAAGGGGAGAAGCAUAAGUGACACUUUCCCGGGAAAAUUUGCAAAAAUGCUUCCCAACCCUAGCAGUCCCCAAACCACCACAUGAGCAGCUACUUGCGUGGCCCUGCAGUAGUGGCCUAUUGUUAAUCCCUAAGGUUAACAAACUCCUGAGAGUGACUGUGAAUUGUGGAUUAUUAGGAUGAGUAAUCUUCUCAAAUGAUUUCUUUUAGGAGAUUUGGCUUCAUAGAAGGCCUAAGGCUUAUUCUAAAAGUAACUCAUCGUUAAAAGGAAAAAGGAAAACAAUUGUAAAAAAGGAAACAAUUGUAAAAGACUGAUAAGCAACAGUAUGAUAUCAAUAUGAUCUCAAGUUAAUUAUAUAUAAGGAUAUACCACAAAAGGCUUAUGGCUGUUAAUAUUUCCCAGGUAGUGAGAUAAGAG
rnacentral:lncRNA from 1 species